AACGAACGCUGGCGGCAUGCCUAACACAUGCAAGUCGAACGAGACCUUCGGGUCUAGUGGCGCACGGGUGCGUAACGCGUGGGAACCUGCCCUUAGGUUCGGAAUAACUCAGAGAAAUUUGAGCUAAUACCGGAUAAUGUCUUCGGACCAAAGUUUUAUCGCCUUUGGAUGGGCCCGCGUAGGAUUAGCUUGUUGGUGGGGUAAUGGCCUACCAAGGCGACGAUCCUUAGCUGGUCUGAGAGGAUGAUCAGCCACACUGGGACUGAGACACGGCCCUGACUCCUACGGGAGGGAGCAGUGGUGAAGAUUGGACAAUGGGAAAAAGCCAGAUCCAGCAACGCCGCGUAGGUGCUGCAGGACUGAAGAUUGUAAAGCUAUUUUACUAGGGACGAUAAUGACAGAACCCGGAGAGUAAGCUCCGGCUAACUCCGUGCCAGCCACCGCGGUAA
rnacentral:rRNA from 1 species